rnacentral:misc_RNA from 1 species
UCUCCGUAGGUGAACCUGCGGAGGGAUCAUUACAGAGUUCAUGCCCUACCGGGUAGAUCUCCCACCCUAUGUUAUUAUUACUUUGUUGCUUUGGCGGGCCGUUAGGCUCCGGCCCGACUACCGGCCCCGGCUGGUAAGCGCCCGCCAGAGGACCCAAAACCCUGAAUAUUAGUGUCGUCUGAGUACUAUAUAAUAGUUAAAACUUUCAACAACGGAUCUCUAGGUUCUG